GGUACCUAAUCAGAAAGCCACGGCUAACUACGUGCCAGCAGCCGCGGUAAUACGUAGGUGGCAAGCGUUAUCCGGAAUUAUUGGGCGUAAAGCGCGCGUAGGCGGUUUUUUAAGUCUGAUGUGAAAGCCCCCGGCUCAACCGUGGAGGGUCAUUGGAAACUGGAAAACUUGAGUGCAGAAGAGGAAAGUGGAAUUCCAUGUGUAGCGGUGAAAUGCGCAGAUAUAUGGAGGAACACCAGUGGGGAAGGCGACUUUCUGGUCUGUAACUGACGCUGAUGUGCGAAAGCGUGGGGAUCAAACAGGAUUAGAUACCCUGGUAGUCCACGCCGUAAACGAUGAGUGUUAAGUGUUAGGGGGUUUCCGCCCCUUAGUGCUGCAGCUAACGCAUUAAGCACUCUGCCUGGGGAGUACGACCGCAAGGUUGAAACUCAAAGGAAUUGACGGGGACCCGCACAAGCGGUGGAGCAUGUGGUUUAAUUUGAAGCAACGCGAAGAACCUUACCAAAUCUUGACAUCCUUUGACAACUCUAGAGAUAGAGCCUUCCCCUUCGGGGGACAAAGUGACAGGUGGUGCAUGGUUGUCGUCAGCUCGUGUCGUGAGAUGUUGGGUUAAGUCCCGCAACGAGCGCAACCCUUAAGCUUAGUUGCCAUCA
rnacentral:rRNA from 1 species